rnacentral:misc_RNA from 1 species
AGAAAGCAAACCCAAGUGGAUGGGGGAAAUAGAAGAUUCGGAAGAAGGAAGGAAAAAAAAUUCUGAAUUUGAGGAUUGAGAAGUUGAGAAGUAAGGCCCAAGUUAGAUCUUCUUCUUCUUUUUCUCUUUGUGGCCUCUGUCUACGAUAUGAGUAAGACCAAAAAACGAAAAAAAAGAAGGUGCUCCUGGGCGUUUAUGGCUGGGCUCUCUAGGGAACACCAAAUGCCUUAGUGCACUUGGGCUUGCCUAGGUGUGCCUAAGUGAGCUUGCUUGCCAAGGAGGUUUAGAGGUGUUGUCGUCUUUGCCUAUCUCGCCUUGCAGCUAAGGUGCACCUUUGAUAACUCUAAGGCUAGUUAUGUUGUAUGGGAGUGAAUAUUGGGUAUCUAAAGUAUGACAUAUCCACAAGAUAGUGAGGCAGAGAUAUAAAUAUUAAGAUGGAUGUCUAGUAGGAUAAGACUAGAAAUGAUUACCACUGCCAGAUAAUGCAUAUAGCACAAAUUGGGAAUAAAAUAAGAGUGUCGAUUAAGGGAGAGACCUAAAAUGACAUAGAGAUAAGUAAUAUUAAAAGAUUUACAAUCUUUAAAUAUUGAUGCAUAAGUAGUUUAAAAUAGAGCUAAAUGGCGAAAAAGGAUACAAUAGAGCAGACCCCAGCUAGUCUAGGAUUAAGACUUAGUUGUUAUUGUUGUUUUAUAAUUAGUUAAAAUAUUUUAAAUUAUUUACUAAAAUGGUAAAAUAUUUAAAAAGAACAAAUAUUUUUAUCUAGUUAGAAACACAUAUAUUAGUUUAUUCUCAAGAGGGCUUAAUAGGUAAAAAAAAUUAAAAUCUUAUUUAAUUGAACAAACCAUACCAUGAAGGCUUAAUUGUACUUUUGACUAUAGUGUAAGCGCACAUGCAUUUAGCCUAAGUUUUCCACUGGUUUUUCUUUUCUUCUUCUUUUUUUAUGUUUUAUUUUUUAUUUUUUUCUUUUCCAUUGCCCAGUGGUAGGUGAAUAUAGAACUCUUGCUGCUUUUGACAACAAUCAUCUUCAUCCACACAUGAUAAAAUUUUUAAUUGUCUAUCCAAAAAGGAUAAGGGGAAGAAAUUAUAAAUCAGGGAAAAGAAGAGGACAAUUCAAUACAAUAAUUGCAAAAAAAUUUUAAAAAAAAUAUCAUAUCUCUAGCUAAAUACUUUUCUUAAUUUUAUGCAUCAAAAUUUUAACUAGUCCCAAUUCAAUUAUGCAUAUGCAAAAUCCCCUUAAUAUUCCAAACCAUCAAGCCUUUAAUCCAUCACAAAGGUAAGUCCAUCCAAAACUGUUCUCUAUCCUAAUGUUAAUUAUUUGAUGCACCAUUAGAACCCUCUGUAUCAUGUAGAGUGGUCCAGUCUUUGUGAUCAAAAAAGAAAUAAGCAUAUCUCAUCAGAAAUAGAGGAAAUUACCGUUUUCAGAAAUGCAGCUGUACUUUUACCCGGUCGGACUAAUGGAAUUGAUGCACCUUGGCGCUUCAACUGUUCACUCACAUCAUCAGGAUCCAAUUGUAGGAAGGUGUAGUAAUAGUUGAAAAAGGCUAUUAAUAGGAUAUUGGUUGGUAGAUAGAAGGAACCUCCUGGGUUCAAAGCCACUGCAGCUUUCUUCAGUGCAGAUAUUCCAGUGAAUCUUGCUAGAGUGCCAGGAAGAGCCAAUGAUGAAGUAGAAAAUAUGAUUGGCAUAACUCCUGAACUAUUUACCUUAAAUGGUAGGUAAGCAGAUUUUUGAAGUCCACUUCUGCUGGUGUAUCUUGAUGCAUAGUUGAGCGGAAUCUUUCUCUCUGCUUCCUGAACAUACACAAUGCCAAGGACUAAAAGCAAGAAUGAGAUGAUGAUUGUAACAAGCCCAACAUAGUUACCAUCCUGAAAUGCCUGUGCAACUGUCCUACCAAAAGAUGCCGGCAAAUAGGAAAUAAUACUUGUGAAUAUCAAAAGAGACGUGCCAUUGCCAAGUUUUAGGUCAGAGAUUCGUUCCCCAAUGUAGGUUGUAAAUACAGAACCAAGUGUCAAUAGAGUAACAGAUGUCAGAACCCACUGUGUACUGAAGUCAUUGACAUAGGAACGAAGGUAAAGAACUUGGCCAAUCGCCUGUAAUGAGGAAAAAAAAAAGUCCAAGAGGAUGCUACAGGAAAGCUAACUGACAUUUUAUAAAGCACAUUACCAAGUACUGUAAGAUGAAACAUUGAUUUCUAUAAAGUACAUUACCAAGUAAUGUAAGAUGAAACAUUGAUCUGGAUUUCAAAAAAUUUCAGACAGAAUAUAUAAUAAUUGCAACUUUCUCCAUAGACUGACACAUGAUGCUAACCAUACAACAAAUAAAUCUAAGAUCUAACCAUUUGCCUAAUUUUAAACAGUCCAAAUCAGUUUGUAGAAAAACAUUUUCUUUCAGGUAAACCGUUUUACCUCUUUGGAUGAUGAAGAGAAAACUUUCAAGUAAUGGAUGCUUACACUCAGAAGUUUCUGCAUGUGAUGGUUGUCUUAACAUUUUUCCUUUUAUGACACACCAUCACUCAUUUUCUCAAUCAAUCCAAGUCUCUUUUGUUAGGAAAAGACCUAAAUCACUGGCUUAUCCUCCCACUGAAUUUUAAUUUACUCUAAACAUGUAAUCAUUAAUACAAAAAGUCUAGCACCAAACAACCAAAACCAAGGGAAUUCAAUAGUUUGUUCAGGUUCAAGGCCUCCUGGUUCAAGUUAGUUAACCGUUAUUCAGUUGAAUAUUGAGUUCCAUACCUGUACUACAGCAAACCCAACUGAAGCAUAUCGAGUAUACUGGAGAACUUUCUUUCUUCCAGCUUCACCUUCUCUUUUCUGAAGAUCUUGUAACUUGGGGUAAACUUGAGCAAGAAGCUGAAACACAAUCUGUGCAUUGAUGAAGGGAACAAUACCGAGGGAGCAUAUUCCAAGUCUACCAAUGCCUCCCCCAGAAAAUGAAUCUAAAGUGCUCAAUAAGCUAUUCUGAUCUAAAUUUCCAGCAAAAGCAUCUCUGUUUACCCCACCAAGGGGUAUAUAUAUUCCAAGACGGGACAGAGCCAGGAAUCCCAGAAGCUGGAGAAACUUUCCUGGCAAUGGGCCUUUGAAGAAGUCCCCAAAAUCAAUGGAACUGUCUUCAAUUGCAGCUGCAACUCCUCGAGCAGAAGGCUUAUCUUUUUUUGUACUUGAGGCACUCUCAAAUAUUGGUGAUAACAAGGCUAGUAUGCUUUCCCAAGCAGAAUCUAGUCCACAAUAUACAUCUGAAUUAAUACCCAAGGGAUCAAAGACUGAGCUCUCACAGCUUUUGGAGUUAAAGGCAGUGUUCCAGGGCUUGGUGGUGCUGGGUUUGCUUUGGACAGAGAAGGUGGCACUGCAGACAGAGGCUUUGAGUCUGAGAGAGGGUUUGGAGAAAUUGAGACUAGAAAGAGAAGAGAAGUUGAAACAAAUGGGGGAGAAAGGACAUGCUUCUCUCACUGUUAUCAACAUUUUGGUUGUGCUCUUCUUCGACUUCUCUCCAGGUUUACUCUAUCACUCUGCUAAUCUAAAUUUUAGUGGUGGUUCUGCAGGAGC